rnacentral:rRNA from 1 species
UACGGGGGGAGCAAGCGUUGUUCGGAUUUACUGGGCGUAAAGGGCGCGUAGGCGGUCGUGACAAGUCACUUGUGAAAUCUCCGGGCUUAACCCGGAAAGGUCAGCCGAUACUGCGGGGCUAGAGUGCAGAAGGGGCAACUGGAAUUCUCGGUGUAGCGGUGAAAUGCGUAGAUAUCGAGAGGAACACCUGCGGCGAAGGCGGGUUGCUGGGCUGACACGUGACGCUGAAGCGCGAAAGCUAGGGGAGCGAACGGG